rnacentral:rRNA from 1 species
AGAGUUUGAUCCUGGCUCAGAACGAACGCUGGCGGCAUGCCUAACACAUGCAAGUCGAACGCCGUCUGGGUUUCGGCCCGGGCGGAGUGGCGCACGGGUGAGUAGCGCGUGGGAACCUGUCCUCUGGUGGGGGAUAACCGAGGGAAACUUCGGCUAAUACCGCAUGCGCCCCGGGAGCGAUCCUGGGGGAAAGAUUGAUC